GUGUCAGCCGCCGCGGUAAGACGGAGGGCGCAAGCGUUGUUCGGAAUUACUGGGCGUAAAGCGCACGCAGGUGGUCCCUUAAGUCCACUGUUAAAUCACGGGGCUCAACCCCGGCGGUGCAGCGGAUACUGAGGGACUGGAGACCGGUAGAGGCUAGCGGAAUUCCUGGUGUAGCGGUGGAAUGCGUAGAUAUCAGGAGGAACACCGGUGGCGAAGGCGGCUAGCUGGGCCGGUUCUGACGCUCAUGUGCGAAAGCGUGGGGAGCAAACAGGAUUAGAAACCCGUGUAGUCC
rnacentral:rRNA from 1 species